rnacentral:pre_miRNA from 1 species
CAUGCACUGGUGGGGUCCCUUGGCCUGGCCUGUGGGGAUUGGGCCAAAAUUGGCAGUCCGACAUCACCUGAGGGGUCCCAGAUUGUGAGAGGGUGCAGGCCAGACCGAGGGACCCCACCAGUGCAUG